rnacentral:rRNA from 1 species
AAUACUGGACAAUGGGGGCAACCCUGAUCCAGCCAUGCCGCGUUUGUGAAGAAUGUCUUCGGAUUGUAAAGCACUUUAUGUUGGGAGGAAGGGCUUUAGGUUAAUACCCUGAAGUUUUGACGUUACCAACAGAAUAAGCUCUCGCUAACUCUGUGACAGCAGCCGCGGUAAUACAGAGGGUGCAAGCGAUAAUCGGAAUUAAUGUGCGUAAAGCGCGCGUAGGUAGUUCAGUAAGAUGGGUGUGAAAUCCACGGGCUUAACCUGGGAACUGCUUUCAUAACUGCUGAGCUAGAGUACGGUAGAGGGUAGUGGAAUUUCCUGUGUAGCGGUGAAAUGCGUAGAUAUAGGAAGGAACACCAGUGGCGAAGGCGACUACCUGGACUGAUACUGACACUGAGGUGCGAAAGCGUGGGGAGCAAAC